rnacentral:rRNA from 1 species
GAUGAACGCUGACAGAAUGCUUAACACAUGCAAGUCAACUUGAACUUCGGUUUGGGUGGCGGACGGGUGAGUAACGCGUAAAGAACUUGCCUCACAGAUAGGGACAACAUUUGGAAACGAAUGCUAAUACCUGAUAUUAUGAUUAUAUGGCAUCGUAUAAUUAUGAAAGCUAUAUGCGCUGUGAGAGAGCUUUGCGUCCCAUUAGCUAGUUGGAGAGGUAACGGCUCACCAAGGCGAUGAUGGGUAGCCGGCCUGAGAGGGUGAUCGGCCACAAGGGGACUGAGACACGGCCCUUACUCCUACGGGAGGCGGCAGUGGGGAAUAUUGGACAAUGGACCAAGAGUCUGAUCCAGCAAUUCUGUGUGCACGAUGAAGUUUUUCGGAAUGUAAAGUGCUUUCAGUUGGGAAGAAAAAAAUGACGGUACCAACAGAAGAAGUGACGGCUAAAUACGU